rnacentral:tRNA from 1 species
UAAGGGCCUAUAGCUCAGCUGGUUAGAGUGCACCCCUGAUAAGGGUGAGGUCACAAGUUCAAGUCUUGUUAGGC